UACGUAGGGUGCAAGCGUUAAUCGGAAUUACUGGGCGUAAAGCGUGCGCAGGCGGUUUUGUAAGACAGUGGUGAAAUCCCCGGGCUCAACCUGGGAACUGCCAUUGUGACUGCAAGGCUAGAGUGCGGCAGAGGGGGAUGGAAUUCCGCGUGUAGCAGUGAAAUGCGUAGAUAUGCGGAGGAACACCGAUGGCGAAGGCAAUCCCCUGGGCCUGCACUGACGCUCAUGCACGAAAGCGUGGGGAGCAAACAGGA
rnacentral:rRNA from 1 species